rnacentral:tRNA from 1 species
GGGUGUAAUUCAAUGGUAGAAUGAUGGUCUCCAAAACCAUUCAUGUGGGUUCAACUCCUGCCACCC